rnacentral:tRNA from 1 species
GAGGGUACAGCUCAGUGGCAGAGUGCGUACUUCACAUGCAUGAGGUCCUGGGUUCAACUGCCAGUACCUCCA